CCUACGGGAGGCAGCAGUGGGGAAUAUUGGGCAAUGGAGGAAACUCUGACCCAGCAAUGCCGCGUGAAUGAAGAAGGUCUUCGGAUUGUAAAGUUCUUUAGUCAGGGAAGAAGUCAAUGACGGUACCUGACUAAGAAGCCCCGGCUAACUACGUGCCAGCAGCCGCGGUAAUACGUAGGGGGCAAGCGUUAUCCGGAUUUACUGGGUGUAAAGGGAGCGUAGACGGCGCUGCAAGUCCGGAGUGAAAGCCCAUGGCUUAACCAUGGUACUGCUCUGGAAACUGUGGAGCUUGAGUGCGGGAGGGGCAGGCGGAAUUCCUAGUGUAGCGGUGAAAUGCGUAGAUAUUAGGAGGAACACCGGCGGCGAAGGCGGCCUGCUGGACCGUAACUGACGUUGAGGCUCGAAAGCGUGGGGAGCAAACAGGAUUAGAUACCCCAGUAGUC
rnacentral:rRNA from 1 species